rnacentral:rRNA from 1 species
AGUGAACGCUGGCGGUAGGCCUAACACAUGCAAGUCGAACGGCAGCACAGAGGAGCUUGCUCCUUGGGUGGCGAGUGGCGGACGGGUGAGGAAUACAUCGGAAUCUACUCUGUCGUGGGGGAUAACGUAGGGAAACUUACGCUAAUACCGCAUACGACCUACGGGUGAAAGCAGGGGAUCUUCGGACCUUGCGCGAUCGAAUGAGCCGAUGUCGGAUUAGCUAGUUGGCGGGGUAAAGGCCCACCAAGGCGACGAUCCGGAGCUGGUCUGAAGGGAUGAUCAGCCACACUGGAGCUGAGACACGGUCCAGACUCCUACGGGAGGCAGCAGUGGGGAAUAUUGGACAAUGGGCGCAAGCCUGAUCCAGCCAUACCGCGUGGGUGAAGAAGGCUUUCGGGUUGUAAAGCCCUUUUGUUGGGAAAGAAAUCCAUCUGGUUAAUACCCGGGUGGGAUGACGGUACCCAAAGAAUAAGCACCGGCUAACUUCGUGCCAGCAGCCGCCGUAA